GUAAACAUGACCCACAUGACCGAAGGACCGAAGUUUGAUCGCGAGCGUGGCCGAAUUUUGAUCGCGAAAUUUGGUCGCCCGCUGCGUUCUGUGGUCGCAUUAUGGUUCGAAUUCGUCGGCCCCGUGGGUUAACGAACAACCAGCUCAUUUUCACCACCGUACUGGGUCUGGCAUGUUCGGUCUAUAUCUGGUAUCCCUACAUUCAAGAACUGCGCCAGCUGCGAGCACAGGCUGCGGCCGCUGCAGCCGUCGAUGAUCAAGCACCCACCGAGGGAAAAUUGUGAUACUGUACGACGAUAGGUCGGAAGGACAUAGCCACGAGUAGGUCGCAGACGCUGAGAACAAUACAGUGAGCGGACGGACGGACGUUCAGGACGAUGAACAAGCAAAACGUUGGCUCUUACAAGAUGGCUCUUCCAUUUUUUGUUCUCUCUGAGGAUGUACCAUCCGGUGACUUUCUGACUGGAACAUGUCUCGGUUUGUGCAUGAAGCGAGCGCAACAGCGCCCUGAAGACCGACCUCCAAUACAUCUCUCUGCAGAGCGGAAAAUCUUUCCCUUUGUCUCUCUGCUUGGGAAAGACUUACUUGUACCAGCUACGUUGCGAACUUAUCUACAAUAAAGCAAGACUUCGCAACGACUAAUGAAA